CGAACGCUGGCGGCGUGCCUAAUACAUGCAAGUAGAACGCUGAAGAGAGGAGCUUGCUCUUCUUGGAUGAGUUGCGAACGGGUGAGUAACGCGUAGGUAACCUGCCUUGUAGCGGGGGAUAACUAUUGGAAACGAUAGCUAAUACCGCAUAACAAUGGAUGACACAUGUCAUUUAUUUGAAAGGGGCAAUUGCUCCACUACAAGAUGGACCUGCGUUGUAUUAGCUAGUAGGUGAGGUAAUGGCUCACCUAGGCGACGAUACAUAGCCGACCUGAGAGGGUGAUCGGCCACACUGGGACUGAGACACGGCCCAGACUCCUACGGGAGGCAGCAGUAGGGAAUCUUCGGCAAUGGGGGCAACCCUGACCGAGCAACGCCGCGUGAGUGAAGAAGGUUUUCGGAUCGUAAAGCUCUGUUGUAAGUCAAGAACGGGUGUGAGAGUGGAAAGUUCACACUGUGACGGUAGCUUACCAGAAAGGGACGGCUAACUACGUGCCAGCAGCCGCGGUAAUACGUAGGUCCCGAGCGUUGUCCGGAUUUAUUGGGCGUAAAGCGAGCGCAGGCGGUUUGAUAAGUCUGAAGUUAAAGGCUGUGGCUCAACCAUAGUUCGCUUUGGAAACUGUCAAACUUGAGUGCAGAAGGGGAGAGUGGAAUUCCAUGUGUAGCGGUGAAAUGCGUAGAUAUAUGGAGGAACACCGGUGGCGAAAGCGGCUCUCUGGUCUGUAACUGACGCUGAGGCUCGAAAGCGUGGGGAGCGAACAGGAUUAGAUACCCUGGUAGUCCACGCCGUAAACGAUGAGUGCUAGGUGUUGGAUCCUUUCCGGGAUUCAGUGCCGCAGCUAACGCAUUAAGCACUCCGCCUGGGGAGUACGACCGCAAGGUUGAAACUCAAAGGAAUUGACGGGGGCCCGCACAAGCGGUGGAGCAUGUGGUUUAAUUCGAAGCAACGCGAAGAACCUUACCAGGUCUUGACAUCCCGAUGCUAUUUCUAGAGAUAGAAAGUUACUUCGGUACAUCGGUGACAGGUGGUGCAUGGUUGUCGUCAGCUCGUGUCGUGAGAUGUUGGGUUAAGUCCCGCAACGAGCGCAACCCCUAUUGUUAGUUGCCAUCAUUCAGUUGGGCACUCUAGCGAGACUGCCGGUAAUAAACCGGAGGAAGGUGGGGAUGACGUCAAAUCAUCAUGCCCCUUAUGACCUGGGCUACACACGUGCUACAAUGGUUGGUACAACGAGUUGCGAGUCGGUGACGGCGAGCUAAUCUCUUAAAGCCAAUCUCAGUUCGGAUUGUAGGCUGCAACUCGCCUACAUGAAGUCGGAAUCGCUAGUAAUCGCGGAUCAGCACGCCG
rnacentral:rRNA from 1 species